AUGGAUCUAAACCAGCAAGCUUCAUGCUGGAACGUUCGUGGGUUGAACGAUCCAGCUAAGAGGAAGGCUGUGAGGGAAUUUGUGACAUCGGUUAAAGUUAAUAUGGUGUGUCUACAAGAGACCAAACUAGAUGUAAUUGACCGUAUUUGUGUUAUACAAUAUUUGGGAUCUUCCUUAGACGGAUUUGCUUACUUGCCGACGUCUGAGACUAGAGGAGGUGUACUCCUUGCUUGGGACACCACGAUCUUUGAGGUUGACAACAUCCAUCUAGAUAGUAAUUUUCUUACGGGCCUCGUGCACAACAAGGAUGGAGCUCAAUGGUGGAUCUCGGUGGUGUAUGGGCCACAGGAAACAGCUCAAAACAGGAUUUCUGUAAGAACUAACAGCGAGAAGGGAGGUGUGACAGGGGCCGUGGAUGGUUCUUGGGGAUUUCAAUAUGAUCCUAAGAGCCUUGGAGAAAAAUAA
rnacentral:rRNA from 1 species